GUCAUAUUUAGAGCAGGGCUUCAUCUACCCUUGCAGGUUCCAGAGUCUCCACUUCUAUUUCUUUCCCAUGUGCAAAAACCUUCCUUUGGGGUCUGACAGUCUCCUCAGUUGAGCAGGGAGUCAAGGGAGUUUAUGUUUGUGAAGAAACAAAAAUUAGUAACAGGCUACAGAUUAAUUUAAUAAUCUAGAAACAGAUGCCCAUGAGGAUGUGUACUAUAGUAGAGGAAACAGCAACUUCUAUGAUGCCUGUCUUUCUCCCAGGAAAAAUCACCUCUGUCUUGCUUCUGUACAGCUUUGCCAGCUUGUUUUAAGAUGAAAAUUGAGAGGAUGCAGGCAGAGAGACACAGAGAGAUGGAGAGAGAUGGAAGGAAAGAGUGCUGCUGCUAUCGGAGCCUUCUCUGCAUUUCCCCUUCUUCAAGAGAUUAUCCUUGCAGAGCCCUGCAGGAUCCUGGGGACUAGGGACAGGAAGGGACUCUGAAACCCUGCCUGAAAUAGAAAACAGCACUGGACAUCUCCAUGUCACCGUGACAGUGAGACCCUUCCCACCUCCGUAGGAAAGCUGAGUUUCCCAUUUUGAUGGCACUGCAUUAAAAAUGGCAGCCAAGGGAAUCAGAAGCAUCCCAUAGGAGGUGACAGGAAGCCACUGCCUGCCAGCGUGCAGGAACCUGCAGGGAACACCAAGGCAGGAGGUCCAGCAGAGAGGAUCCCCCAGGGGCUCCCUCCCAGCUCCAGGCCUUCACCAUGAUCCUUCUUCCGCCGCCAUCUUGUUCAGAGGUAGUGAACUGCUGGGGUUUCGUGGUCUGAAAGCCUUGUUCAGCUUGGGGUGGUGGGAAGGGGAAUAUCAUGCCAAGUUUCAGCCUCACUCUGUUCAGCGAGCCCAAGAACACCAUUUGAGAGGUACGGUCUCCAUCUAGAGCCAUAGUGUGGGUCUACAGGCCACGGCCAGGAUGCUUAUCUCUCUGGUCGUUUUACUGCCUGCCCAUAGAUGGGGUGUUGUCACAGUCACCCUUUGUUGUGGAAAUCACAUCUUCCACUGAAAGCAG
ensembl:lncRNA